rnacentral:rRNA from 1 species
UACGUAGGGUGCGAGCGUUGUCCGGAAUUAUUGGGCGUAAAGAGCUCGUAGGCGGUGUGUCACGUCGGCCGUGAAAACCUGGGGCUUAACUCUGGGCGUGCGGUCGAUACGGGCAUCACUAGAGUUCGGCAGGGGAGACUGGAAUUCCUGGUGUAGCGGUGAAAUGCGCAGAUAUCAGGAGGAACACCAAUGGCGAAGGCAGCUCGCUGGGGACGGUAC